GGGCCGUAGCCGAGUGGUAGAGCAGCUGUUUUGCAAGCAGAAGGUCCCAGUUUCAAUCUCUGGCAUCCCCA